CGCCGUCGCACUCCAUCCCCGCCGCCCUGCCGGCGCUCCACCACCUAUGUCCCCGCCGCCCUCCCGUCGCCCUGCUCGUGCUCCAGCGUCACCCUCGUCCUUGCUGCCAUCGUCCUCACGCUUCCCCCCACCCCAUCGACACAUGUUCCCUACCACCGCUCCGGGGUCGCAGCCGCCGAUAGACCGACCCCGAGAUCCUCCCGUCCACCACCCCCAACCCCAUUCCACGUCCCCGUGUCCCCGACCCCAUCCCCUCCUUCCUUCCUUGGAGUCACAGCCGCCGACAGCUCCGUCUCCGCCGUCGCCUUCACCGAGCACGCCCAACCCCCCCUCCCCCAAUUUGUUGUCUUUGUUCUUGUUCUUCCCUGUGUCUCGAGUAGAUCGAACUGCUAGGUUGCUGCAACUUGAGAGUUGUACUGUUGGUAGUUACUGUCGAGUGGUUUGGACAUGUUGCUGAUCUAAAGCAUAACCUGAUCCCUGCUCACUUAAUCAGCUCCUUUUUGUUUAAGAAGAGUGUAGUAUUAUGAAGGUUACUAGUUGGAUCCGUAUAGUACAGAGAAGCAAAGAAUUCAUACCUUGUCAAUGUUUCUAAUUCUUUGGCCUGAUCGAUGGCUAGAGGGACAUGGUACUUUAGUUCCUGAAUUCCAAGCUUGCAAAUUUCUGAAUUCUAGGUCUGCAUCGGCAUGAUGAGUUAAUCAGAUAUAUGCGUAACCAGCUAUACUGAUGCUAUUGCUAUAAUAAAUAAUAAUUCUGGAGUAACACUUCUUUUUGUAGCUAGCAUGUAGGCUACAAGCUCUCGUUGAUGCUAUAGAUGGUCGGGUCGGUUUCAAUUUUUUGGGAGAAAAUUAGAUUCCAACCUAGUUUAUAGCAGGUUUGAUAAAUAUAUAACUCACUAUAAAAAAGUCAGUUGCACAGUCAUAGGACUGAAGUGAAAUAUUCUCAUUGAAAAAAUUUGCAACUGUAAAUUAUCAAAUUGCAAAUGCAGAAUGAGAUAAUCGUAAGCUUAUUAGCACUGCACACUCCGCGUUUUAUAAAUAUUGUUGGAUUGUCAAGUAUGCAGUAGGGGAUACAUUUUUUUAACGGGCUGCCUAUAAUGCCAACAUGUCUAGGUAAAUAACAUGUUCCUUUCCGUUCUUUUUUUUCCAGAUGAGAUAGAAGAUAGAUAUAUUUAUGUGUCAGAUACUACUGUCUAACUAUUUGUGGUAAUAAGUAUUGGUGUUAAGUAGAAUCUCCAUUUGUGUUACCAUCACAGGACCAUUAAACAGUCAUAUGCGAGCCAUAUAUUUGAUAUUAAGCAAGUUGUCUGAGGAUGUUCACUACCCACCUAAUUUGAGCUCCCCGUUUCCAUAUGCAGGUAAAUCCUAGAAUUUUCACCACUUUUUAGUUCUAAUUUUACCACUCUGCUUCUUGCUUUCUUAAAUGGGGUGCCUUCUCAUAAUACCUUUCUUGCUUUGAAGAAUACAACAUUUAGCAUGUUUUUUCUAAAAACAAGUCACAACACCAUUUAGAAUGUCACAACUGAGAAUGCUGGGAUAUAUUAACAUGUGCAGCUAGACAUUCCCUUGGCAUUCGUGAUAUUUAUAGCUGGAUUCACCCUGCAGAUAUGGCAUAAUUAUUUCUCUUCCUCACUUCUUUCACUUCAAAAUAUCCAGGCCUUGGUUUCCCUAGGUACCCUGUCGCUGUUUCUGUUGGGUAUAUGAUAAUUCCACAGGUGCCAUAUAGUAAUGUUGUGAACUAUGGACCUAAUGGGUAUGCUGGUGGUGGUGGUGGCAGGUACCAAAACAACAAGAUUCGUGUCUGGUGUCCUGCUUGUUGGAGGGGAGCUGAUGUAGCAUCGAUCACUAAUAGGCUAGGCUAUUAAUUCUAACAUGUCUGUUUAAAAUGCAGAAGAUGGAUAGUUAGUGGUUUGAGCAGAUUUAUAACUAAUUGUAGCCUAUCAACCCCAUUCUGACUAAGCAGCAGGAGGAUAAUAACUUGAAUUAUAAUAAUGACGAUCUAGUUCAAGAAUAAGGCAGUACUUAAAUCUUAAUAAUCUCCGUACAUGGUGCUUUUAUGAGAUAUUCGUGUUUAUUUUGGUGAUGGCCUAAUAUUACCUGAACAUCAUUUGUGCAUUUGAAAAGUUCAUCCAUUAAACUUACCAAGGACAUAACUUGCAGUCCCUUGGCCUACUUUCUAAUUUGAUUUAUGGUCAGCCGAGUUAUCUAUAUUAUUAAACAUAGUUUUCAUUUUUACAGGGUGGUUGAUAAAUGUCUUCACAUUUUUCAGAGCAACAUGUAGUGGAAGAAGCAGCCUAUGAAGUGGAAUAGUUUGCAUAAGAAAUAGGCAAUGUACUCAGCCACCUUCCUCCCUACACGUUUACGGCAACCACCACCAUCCCCUUCCCUCACCUCUAGGCUCCCCUGCCCUUUUCUCUCCCCACCGGCCCGAUCUAGUCCCUGCGGCGUCGGUCUGGUCGAUGCAGGUUGCUGCAGGGAGCGAGCGACGACCCCUUCGUUGGUGUGCUGAACUGCGGGGAUGCACAGAGCCACCACCGGGGAUGCGCCGUGCUGGGACGCUGCAGUCCUUCGUCGCCACGAGCCACGCACCCGUCGCCUACGCAGUCGGAUUCUCCACCGACCACAAAAAAAACAGGAUUCUUCGUCGACCCCGACAGGCUUUGAGUCGCUCGCCCCACCAGGUCCCCCUUCCUCUCUACUUUCAAUUUUUUUUGAGGUUGUCUUCAGGUUUGUCCAUGCGCAGGAAAUGUUGAGCACGGGUUGAGGCGAGAUAUCGGUGGAUAAUGUUCUAUCUCUGAUGAUGUCGGCGGCGUUGGCCGGAUCUGCGUCCAGAAAUCCACGGAAUGACCACGCCCUUGAUAGAAUUAGCAUAGGGUGUUUUUAUUUUUAGUUUCUUGUGUUUUGCUAGUCCUUGACAAAUGUAUUGUCCGGAAAUAUCUGUACUUUUAAGUUUUUCUUUUUCAUGUAAUUUUGUGUGCCGUGUGUAUGUAUGUAUUGCCUUUAUUUAAUGAUAUGAGCAUAUAUCUUCUGGAAAAUUUAUACUGGUUA